rnacentral:tRNA from 1 species
GGGGGUAUAGCUCAUUGGUAGAGCACAUGCUCAAGGUCCUGGAUUCAAUCCCCAGUGCCUCUG